rnacentral:lncRNA from 1 species
AAUUUGGAAAAUCUGGAAAGUUAGCUUGUUUUAAUAGGGGCUAUGCUCUACACUUCCCUCCCCUCCCCCUGCCCGCCCACCUCCCAACCCACUCUUAACGUCCAUAAGUCAGAUCCUUAUCAGAUCAUUGUUACCUUCUAAAAAGCGAUCUAUUUUUCACCUGUUGGACUCUGUUAGUGGUCUGAGGAAGAACAGAUCACUUUGUAAACUACGGAUGGUCUGAUAAGGUUUUUACUGACCCACUGACUUUAGAGUUACACUCUGUUUACUACAUCAUAAUGCUGGUUUUGCUGACUUUU